GUACUCCAGCUAUGCUUUGGCUAUCUGGUAUGGUGCAAGGUUCAUCUUGGGAAAAGGAUAUACUGGUGGUCAAGUUUUCAAUGUUUUCGACGUCAAGCUUCUCCAUUCAGUAGCAAGCGAUUUACUUCUUAAGGUACACCAAUAUAACUAUGCAUAAGUUUGAGAGUGAUUACACUAGAUGCACUUAGUAUUCUUAUAAUAAACUAAUAAUAGUAUAAGUGUACUAAUUUGAUGGGGCUUCUCAAAGCUUGUAGUUGUACUUAACAUGUGCAAUGAGGAUGAUUCUCAAAGCUUGUAGACAGGGGCGGACCCACGUGUUGUCCAGGGGGUUCACCCGAACCCCCUCGAUAAAAAAUUACACUGUAUAUAUAAGGUGAAUUUUCUGGAUUUAUGUGGAUAUAUAUAUUUUGACUUGUGUGGAUAUGCAUUGCCAAGGUGUUAGUGUUAGAUGCUUAGAUACUGGCUUGAACUCCACUUUUGGUGGAGUAAUGUGUCUCAUCCUAUCUAGGAUGGUGUCACGUAGACAAGAUGCUUAUGCCAAGGUAGCAAUGGUGGUCGAAAAAACAAUUGGCUCCUGUCAUAUGUUUAAAUUAGUAUGAUGCCCAUGAUCUGAUGAAAUUUAUAUUGGGAGCAAAACAAUCUUUGUUUCACUUUCUUUUCAGAAAAUAAUCACCAGUAGACGAUAUGUACCUUGUUUCCUCCUCGUGCUGCAUCUUUUUCAGGGGAGAAGCAAGUUGUGAAAAAUUCUUAUAAGCAUUUUAAAAGACUAAGCUAUUUUCAUUUUGCUAUUAUGUACUCCAGCUAUGCUUUGGCUAUCUGGUAUGGUGCAAGGUUCAUCUUGGGAAAAGGAUAUACUGGUGGUCAAGUUUUCAAUGUUUUCGACGUCAAGCUUCUCCAUUCAGUAGCAAGCGAUUUACUUUUUAAGGUACACCAAUUUAACUAUGCAUAAGUUUGAGAGUGAUUACACUAGAUGCACUUAGUAUUCUUAUAAUAAACUAAUAAUAGUAUAAGUGUACUAAUUUGAUGGGGCUUCUCAAAGCUUGUAGAUGUACUUAACAUGUGCAAUGAGGAUAAUAUACUUAAAAGGGGAAGAGCUAAACCAGGGUAAUACUUAUAAUUUUUUCUAUUUCUCCUUUUGGUUCGAUUAUUUCUUCCCUCUUAAGGACAUGAAAAUAGGCGGAGCUACAAAGUUAGUGAGAAUUAAGGAGCAUAAAAUGAAUUAUUUUGGUUGUUCCACUCCCAUUUUUUAAUUCAUCUUUUCAAUGUUGUAGUUUAUAGAAUCCUCCAUUUAGUAGUUUAUUUCUUGAAAUGUAUUUAGCCUGAAACCAUUACUCAAAAUUUUAUGAUCAGUAAAUUUUUGUAGGGAGAGUUUUCUGCAAAAAUGUGUGAUGCUGGUGGCGAAUUGACAAUGCACGGGAGGAAUGUAAGUUCCAAAUUCUACUUUUAUGAAUUACAAUAUUGAUUUCUAAAACAACCCCGCGACUAUUUCAAGUGCAUGUGUUCUUUAAUCUUUAACUUGCUUCCAUUCAAUUGUUAUUAGAGUAAGUCCACAGAAUAUUUGUCUCUUCAUUUCCAUAAAGCAGUUGUCAGUUUUUCAGCCUUUUCUCUUUGGAAACUAUUUCCCUUUUCUUUACAAAUUUUCACAGACUACUUGGUUGGAUGAAUAAGAAAGUUCUCGAUCUAUGUAUCACGUCGAAAUUAAAUGAACUUUCUGUAUAGACAGCUUUUGCCGCAGGAUGUAGAACUCCCAAAUAUUGGAAAAGUGUAAGAGCAAUCAGGCAGUUAGGCUUGUUUUCGAUUUGAAGCUGAAGUGCUAGAAAGAAAUUUUGCAAGAAUGGUUCUAUGCCUAUUCCUACUUCUGAUGUAAGUUCUUAAAAGUUGAAACUGAAGAAAGUUAGAGAGUUGCGAAACCAAUGGUUGGUAAUACAGAAGAUUUUAAUUGGAGUAUGUAGUAGUCUUAUACUUCACGGUUCAGAUUGUUGACUUAUGUAUUUGAACAUUUGGCGAAGAGAGCUUGAAAGUGACAUGCAAGAAGGAAGAAAUAAAAUUAAACUGGAAAUAAACUUGUGUUGUCUCUUUCGGUUUGAUAGCGGGAUUUCAUUUACUUUGUACCAUAGUACUAUGUUGGUGUUUUUUUAGAUGAGAACACACAAAGGUAUAAUAGCACUUUCCCUAAAUCAGCACCACUUUAUUAAGGGACACCAAUUAGUUUGCUCUAUGCUAUUUUUGUUUAUCUCUAUAAACAUAUAUUGACUUCAAGGAAGUUUUAUGUUGUGCUUGAUUGGUGGGACAUCACAAUUGAUAAAUUCUUCUCAGUUGGGAAAAACUUGGUCCAUAUAGUUGUGUUUCUUAUGCAAUCAAUGUUCUAAGUGAAACUUACAAGAUGACUGAUUUAUUACUCCAAAAUAUUGUUUUAGUUUACUCUUUUAAAAUCUUCAUUCUUUUCAAGUGCAUCUUCAUUCUCCGGGUUGUGUGUACUGAAGGACCUGAGAGAAUUAGAGAACUGAUUGUUAUGAGUGCUUCGUUUGAUCAUGGGGAGGAUGGCAAUCUGCAUCUAGCCAGGGAAGCUGGCCACUCCCAUCGCCAAAUUAUCCAUGCUGCUGAUAUGAGAGGCAGAGAGAUAGAAAAGGCCCUUAUUAGAGGCAAUUAUUAAGUAUCCUAGAACACAUGUGUUUCAACGCCAUUUUGCUAUAGAUUUGUUGACCACUCAAGUAAGUUUAUUCAUUUAUAGCAAAUGUUUGUGUUGGUUAUUAUGGAGAAACUUUUCUGUUCUAGCAUCAAUUUGGUCCGAAAUGAAGGGUAGUUGCUUUAAUCUAAUUAAACUUGGAAUUAUUCUUUUGCUUAUGUGUCAUAGUUGAUUCAAAUGACAUGCAUUCAAACAAUUGCUAUGUUGGUAAUGUCUUAAAGAUAUUCAUGUAUUAUGAUGUAUGAAUUUGUGUAGGUGCACUGAUUAUGAUUCUGAUGAUGUAUAAAUGGCAUUUAACAAAGUUACAACCUGACUAUAUGUGAUCUGUAUGUUGUGAAUAUUGUACAGAGAUUUGCAUAUGCUAUUGUUUGUGAUACUUGACUUCAUAUACAUACCUGAAAAAUAUUAGAUCUCACCUGUAGAAGUGCUCCCAAAAGCUCUAUUAAUUGGCACUAUUACUUAUUAUUAUUGUGUCUUAAAAAUAAAUUCUCAACAAAAUGGGGAUUCACUGAGUUGUUAAACUUCUGCUUGUCUUACAUUCGUAUUUUUCUAUUGGCUUAUUUUUUUCUUUUUAAAGAUUCAUUGGCCUGUUCUGGUGAAAAAUGUUGUCAAUAACUUUAAACCUGAAAAUUUGAUUCCAACAGAUAUACUUAGCACAUGGUAAGUAACAAAGAAACUUCAUGAUUCUAGGAAAUUAGAGCUAUUGGAGUUAGCAAUUUCUUUAUUGAAAAACUGAAGAUCUUCUCGAAAUAGCUCUUAUUCCUCUUGUUAUUAAUCAAGUGGAGUGCCAGAUCAAAGAGAAGGUAAUUGUAUGUGAUGUGAGUUGAUACAUGAAAAAUGCAUUUUUUGAAGUUGUCAAGUCUGUCAGUGAGCCAAAGUUGUGCUAUUGCUGUAGUUAUAACUUAUUAUUCAUUACAGCUGCCUAUAACUAUGGCUAUAGGAUUAUUGAUGUAGUUACUUUGUGAAGAAGGCUGACGCAUCAUCCAACUUUGUAGUGAUAAUUAAACAAGUUUAAUUACUAGCUAGCUCUUUGUUUUUAUGAAAUUAACAUAAUUUUUUGUGUAGUUGUCCAUAUUAAUUUCCAGGUUUUGUAAAAAAUGAAUCCUUUAUUUUUUGAUUUGCUAUUUGGAUUUUAAUUGUUAAGUGAAAAAUGCUAUCAUUUUUUAUGCUAUGCUUAGUUUGUGGGCAUUAGUUCAAAGAAGCUUAGCAGUUGUCCCUAUUCUAUAACUUGAAUGGUAAAUUCUAUAUUUUAUAUUGUUAAACUUAUAUAUUAUCAGCUUACUAAGUAGGAGGAAGUUACUACAUGUUCAUCAUGUGGGAAAUGAAAAAGCUAGAAAUACUCAAGAAUGAACUAAGCAGGUCGUGGCUUUUGUUGGCUUCUGCAAUAGGAAUGAGAUUAAUAUGUUAAAACAAAAAACUAAAGAUUCCUUUGUAGAAUGCAACUUCAUUAUUUGUUCUUUGCAUAAAUAAUCUAGCCCAACAUUUUUUGUUCCUUGCAUCAGUAGUACUAUCCAUGCUCUUGAAUAAUUAAAAGCAUAAUAGUUGCUCCUCUUUUUGGCACACAAAUACUGAAUUCAUAAUAUUGUGAAGUUGUUCUUAGGAAUAUUAUUAGUUGGUGAACUAACAAUUAAUUUAUGAUCCAUAUUUUCAAGACGUCCAUAAAGUUUCAUCCCUUUAGAAUAUUGAAGGAAAAAUAUAUCGUUGAGACAUUUAUUUGUUAGACUAAUUUAUGGUUAGUAAACAUCUUUUAUUGAACUUGAAACCCCGAUGGUUCUCUAUUUAAUUAAGGUAGAACAAAAAAUGAGAGGGUAUAUGCAGGUUUGGACAAUGCGAUGAGAUGUGUUGUUAGAGUCCUGUUCUGAAGGAUCAACAAUGGAGUGUUUAUAUUGUUCGUGCCCCUGGCUCUACUUGCUAUUGUGAGGUUUACCAUCUCUCCAUUUUAUCACUUUGAAUUUAUUAUAUGUAUCGUUCCACACUCUUUGAAAGUGUUAAAUUUUUGUAUUGAUGUUGUGUUGCCAUGACUCUAUGUUUAUUGAUGCUCUUCUUAUGGCCUUUUAGUUUAUGUAUUUGUUAGGAGUCUGAGAUUUUUAUUUCAAGGUUUGCAAAUUGAGGAUUUAGGAGUGCAAAUGUAUUCUUGCAUUUCACAGCUGAGUUGAGCAAUCAUAUGUUAUGAUUAAAUAUUUCUAUUUCAGGU
rnacentral:lncRNA from 1 species